rnacentral:rRNA from 1 species
GAUGAACGCUGGCGGCGUGCCUAAUACAUGCAAGUCGAGCGAACAGACGAGGAGCUUGCUCCUCUGACGUUAGCGGCGGACGGGCGAGUAACACGUGGAUAACCUACCUAUAAGACUGGGAUAACUUCGGGAAACCGGAGCUAAUACCGGAUAAUAUAUUGAACCGCAUGGUUCAAUAGUGAAAGACGGUUUUGCUGUCACUUAUAGAUGGAUCCGCGCCGCAUUAGCUAGUUGGUAAGGUAACGGCUUACCAAGGCAACGAUGCGUAGCCGACCUGAGAGAGUGAUCGGCCACACUGGAACUGAGACACGGUCCAGACUCCUACGGGAGGCAGCAGUAGGGAAUCUUCCGCAAUGGGCGAAAGCUUGACGGAGCAACGCCGCGUGAGUGAUGAAGGUCUUCGGAUCGUAAAACUCUGUUAUUAGGGAAGAACAAAUGUGUAAGUAACUAUGCACGUCUUGACGGUACCUAAUCAGAAAGCCACGGCUAACUACGUG